AACUAAUGAACUUGAACAAGUAUAUAUUUUGAAAAUAUAUGAAAGAAAUUACAGCUUUCUAUUAGUUU
rnacentral:tRNA from 1 species